GCCCGGGUGGCGGAACGGCAGACGCGGAGCACUCAAAAUGCUCUGCCCGUGAGGGCGUGCGGGUUCGAGUCCCGCCCCGGGCA
rnacentral:tRNA from 1 species